rnacentral:tRNA from 1 species
GGAUUGUGGCUCAGUGGCAGAGUGCUUGCCUCAUACAUGUGAGGCUCUGGGUUCGAUCCUCAGCACCA